rnacentral:lncRNA from 1 species
UCGAUAGCCGAGGUGGUACUAUGUUUUUCUUGAUCCAAUAGGUCGGUGGAAUAUCCCGAGCGAAGGAGUCCUGAAUUGGCUCCAGCAGGGGGCGGGCGCCCUGGGCCUGGCCCAGCUUCGCCUCCGCUUCGGUCUCGUGGCUUCUGGAGUCUUCUAGAUGAUGUAGAAUUGCGCGGUGCGUUGAUAUCUCUAUGUAAUCCCGACAUGUGGGCCUUUCUUCCUUAUUUCCUGAUAACCCCCUGCAGAAAUAGAUAAACAACAAAACUCGUGGAAUUCUGUCAGAUCAAACCCUAAUUCUAGGUGAUGGUUGCAUAUUGGUCCUUUCUCUUGUUUAUUUGAUAAUUAAAAUUGAUACUUAAGAACCG